GUUCGAGAACACAGUAAAUUUUUGCACAUAUUUUUUGUAAAAAAAAACUUUUCUAAUUUCCAUACGUGAUUUUAACAUUUUUAUUUUGCCCUGAGGUUCACCCCUAAUCGAUUUUUUUUCCCUGUACAUUACCUAUCCGACGCGGUUUUGCACAACAAAUUGAGGGUUAUUUUCGAUUAAACAGUCCAAGCGAACGCAACGAUCGAGUGACCCCGCUAGAUCUCUUAAGUGCACCCAAAAGCCAAAAUGCAUGUUUUCAAAAAAAAAAAAAAAUUGAAAAACAAGGUAUCCGGUAAAAUAAACUUAUAUUACUGUGGUGAUAAAUAAUGAUAAAC